rnacentral:lncRNA from 1 species
CACGGAGCCAUGCACGGAGCAAUGUGCUCAGCAAUGCACGGAGCAAUGUGCUCAGCAAUGCACGGAGCAAUGUGCUCAGCAAUGCCCAGAGCAAUGCAUGGAGCAAGGUGCAGAGCAAUGCCCUGAGCAAUAUGCAGAGCAAUGUCUGGAGCAAUGCCUGGAGCAAUGCAAUGUGCACAGCAAUGCCCAGAGUAAUGCACGGUGUAGAGCAAUGCACUGAGCAGUGCACAGAGCAGUGCAUGGAGCAAUGCCUGGAGCAGUGUGCACAGUAAUGCACGGUGCAGAGCAAUGCACAGAGCAAUGCAUGGAGUAAUGCACAGAGCAAGGCACAGAGCAAUGCCCUGAGCAAUGCAAUGUGCACGGCAAUGCCCAGAGUAAUGCACGGUGCAGAGCAAUGCACGGAGCAGUGCAUGGAGCAGUGCAAUGUGCACAGCAAUGCCUGGAGCAAUGUGCACAGCAAUGCCCAGAGCAAUGCACGGUACAGAGCAAUGCCCAGAGCAAUGCACUGAGCAAUGCACAGGGCAGUGCAUGGAGCAAUGCCUGGAGCAGUGUGCACAGUAAUGCACGGUGCAGAGCAAUGUCUGGAGCAAUGCAAUGUGCACAGCAAUGCAUGGAGCAAGGCGCAGAGCAAUGUCUGGAGCAAUGCAAUGUGCACAGCAAUGCCCAGAGCAAUGCACGGUGCAAUGCCCGGCACAGAGCAAUGCCCGGCACAGAGCAAUGCAUGCAUGGUGCAGAGCAAUGCCCAGCACAGAGCAAUGCAUGGUGCAGAGCAAUGCCCAGCACAGAGCAACACAUGGUACAGAGCAAUGCCCAGCACAGAGCAAUGCAUGGUGCAGAGCAAUGCCCAGCGUGGAGCAAUGCAUGCAUGGCACAGAGCAAUGCAUGCANACAGAGCAAUGCCCAGCACAGAGCAAUGCAUGGUAUGGAGCAGUGCAUGGCACAGAGCAAUGCAUGCAUGGUACAGAGCAAUGCAUGGUACGGAGCAAUGCCCAGCACAGAGCAAUGCAUGCAUGGUGCAGAGCAAUGCCCAGCACAGAGCAAUGCAUGCAUGGUGCAGAGCAAUGCCCAGCACAGAGCAAUGCAUGCAUGGUGCAGACCAAUGCCCAGCACAGAGCAAUGCAUGCAUGGUACAGAGUAAUGCUUGGAGCACAGAGCAAUGCAUGGUAUGGAGCAAUGCCCAGCACAGGGCAAUGCUUGGAGCAAUGCCCAGCACAGAGCAAUGCUUGGAGCAAUGCCCAGCAGAGAGCAACGCUUGGAGCAAUGCCCAGCACGGAGCAAUGCUUGGAGCAAUGCCCAGCACGGAGCCAAGCUUGGAGCAAUGCCCAGCACGGAGCCAAGCUUGGAGCAAUGCCCAGCACAGAGCAACGCUUGGAGCAAUGCCCAGCGUGGCGCGCACCGUUGCCAGGUUGAGCUGUGCUCUGUUGUGCUGUGUUGUGCUGUGCUGUGUUGUGCUGUGCACUGUUGUGCUGUGCUGUGUUGCACUGUGCUGUGCAGGAGGAGCAGCUGGAGCGAGGCCAGGAGCCGCCCUGCUCGGAGCAGAACCUUACUCAGAGAUUCCGUGGGGCUGACGCCGUGCGAUGAAAGGGAGCAGCAGCGUCCUCCCCCCCACA